GACGAACGCUGGCGGCGUGCUUAACACAUGCAAGUCGAACGGAAAGGCCCUGCUUUUGUGGGGUGCUCGAGUGGCGAACGGGUGAGUAACACGUGAGUAACCUGCCCUUGACUUUGGGAUAACUUCAGGAAACUGGGGCUAAUACCGGAUAUGAGCUCCUGCUGCAUGGUGGGGGUUGGAAAGUUUCGGCGGUUGGGGAUGGACCCGCGGCUUAUCAGCUUGUUGGUGGGGUAGUGGCUUACCAAGGCUUUGACGGGUAGCCGGCCUGAGAGGGUGACCGGCGACAUUGGGACUGAGGUACGGCGCAGACUGCUACGGGAGGCAGCAGUGGGGAAUAUUGCGGAAUGGGCGGAAGCCUGAUGCAGCAACGCCGCGUGCGGGAUGAUGGCCUUCGGGGUGUAAACCGACUUCGACUGUGACGAAGCGUGAGUGACGGUAAUGGGUAAAGAAGCCCCGGCUAACUACGUG
rnacentral:rRNA from 1 species